rnacentral:siRNA from 1 species
AUAAAAUGGCCGGUCAACGCUUUUA